rnacentral:rRNA from 1 species
CACAAGCGGAGGAACAUGUGGUUAAUUCGAUGAUACGCGAGGAACCUUACCUGGGCUCGAACGUAAGAUGACUGUAGGUGAAAGCUUACAUCUCUUCGGAGCAUUUUACGAGGUGCUGCAUGGUUGUCGUCAGCUCGUGCCGUGAGGUGUCGGGUUAAGUCCCAUAACGAGCGCAACCCCUACCUUUAGUUGCCAUCAGGUUAAGCUGGGGACUCUAAAGGAACUGCCUACGCAAGUAGUGAGGAAGGCGGGGAUGACGUCAAAUCAGCACGGCCCUUACGUCCAGGGCUACACACGUGCUACAAUGGCCGAUACAGAGGGCAGCUACCUGGUGACAGGAUGCAAAUCUCCAAAGUCGGUCUCAGUUCGGAUCGCAGUCUGCAACUCGACUGCGUGAAGUCGGAAUCGCUAGUAAUCGUGAAUCAGAAUGUCACGGUGAAUACGUUCCCGGGCCUU